GAUGAACGCUGGCGGCGUGCCUAAUACAUGCAAGUCGAGCGAACGGACGAGAAGCUUGCUUUUCUGAUGUUAGCGGCGGACGGGUGAGUAACACGUGGAUAACCUACCUAUAAGACUGGGAUAACUUCGGGAAACCGGAGCUAAUACCGGAUAAUAUUUUGAACCGCAUGGUUCAAAAGUGAAAGACGGUCUUGCUGUCACUUAUAGAUGGAUCCGCGCUGCAUUAGCUAGUUGGUAAGGUAACGGCUUACCAAGGCAACGAUGCAUAGCCGACCUGAGAGGGUGAUCGGCCACACUGGAACGGAGACACGGUCCAGACUCCUACGGGAGGCAGCAGUAGGGAAUCUUCCGCAAUGGGCGAAAGCCUGACGGAGCAACGCCGCGUGAGUGAUGAAGGUCUUCGGAUCGUAAAACUCGGUUAUUAGGGAAGAACAUAUGUGUAAGUAACUGUGCACAUCUUGACGGUACCUAAUCAGAAAGCCACGGCUAACUACGUGC
rnacentral:rRNA from 1 species